GGGCUGAAGACAAGGCUGCCCCACGGGUCCAAGGUGCAUUCUGGAGACCAAGCUACCACCAGCUGGAGACUGGAGUCCACUUGGAACAACCAGUGAGGAAACCAGGACAGCUGGCUAUGAGGCUGGGCACUGAUACAAUGACAACAGAGCUCAGGCCAGGAGCAGAGCAACUCUCCUGACCUCAGAAGAGGGGGCUGCCUGCCACCUUCACGGACACCACGCUGCCACCAGUGCCACCAGUGCCAGGAGAGGACCACGGUCACUGCAUGGGGACUAACACAGGCCCCUUUUUUGAGGAAAGGCACUGGACUGACUGACUGUCCUGGUUCCCAAAGUCCGGAAGUGGCAAAAGGAGCCCACGUUCCCUUUUUGCUGCCCUUGCCAACCUGCCCAGAUAUUUGUGUGAGCAACAGGAGACAGAAUUCAUGGCACACACAUCCUGUACAACCACUGCUCCUCACCUUGAGAAGGGCCUUGUGCUCCAAGGUCCAACACAAUCUCCUUCUCCUUCCCACCGAAGUG